rnacentral:rRNA from 1 species
UGGGGAAUAUUGCACAAUGGGCGCAAGCCUGAUGCAGCGACGCCGCGUGAGGGAUGACGGCCUUCGGGUUGUAAACCUCUUUCAGUACCGACGAAGCGCAAGUGACGGUAGGUACAGAAGAAGCACCGGCCAACUACGUGCCAGCAGCCGCGGUAAUACGUAGGGUGCGAGCGUUGUCCGGAAUUAUUGGGCGUAAAGAGCUCGUAGGCGGUUUGUCGCGUCUGCUGUGAAAACCCGAGGCUCAACCUCGGGCCUGCAGUGGGUACGGGCAAACUAGAGUGCGGUAGGGGAGAUUGGAAUUCCUGGUGUAGCGGUGGAAUGCGCAGAUAUCAGGAGGAACACCGAUGGCGAAGGCAGAUCUCUGGGCCGUAACUGACGCUGAGGAGCGAAAGCAUGGGGAGCGAACA